GACCCCUGGCAGUCCUCGGUACGUGUCUGGACAAAGCUAGGUUGAUUUGCUUUUCCAGAGCAACAUGAAUGCCACUAAUGCAAUUGCAUUGAUAAACUUCUUCAGUCAACAAACAUUCCCAGCCAGGGACUUGGGCACUGUGCACCCUCUGACACGGCGACACCGGUGGGACCUGGCUUCUGGAAGUAAGAUUGAAUGGCUGUUAGAAGGGGUGAUGGCUCUCCCCAACACUGGGCAGGGAAACCACGGUAACGAAGUAACACAGAAUCACAGAAGCGGUAGACCCGGAGGGCUCCUUAGAUGUCACGCUGGCCAACCUCUUGGCUUUGCAGGAUCGCACCUGCAUAUGAAAGCAACGCUGGAUCUGAGCCAUGUCUGCGACCUACACCACAGCUCAUGGCAACACUGGAUCCUUAACCCACUGAGCGAGGCCAGGGAUGGAACCUGAGUCCUCUUGGAUACUAGUCAGAUUCAUUUCCACUGAGCCACGACCAGAACUCCGUGAACGCUCUUGACCAUAGUGUAAAAAACUGAUUACCAUCCAAAUGAGUGUAGCCAUUUAUAUUCCCACCAGCAGUGAAGAAGAGACUUCCUGAGUUAGAUCAUUGCAAAACAAUUCAUCAAACUCAGGAAAUCAGGCAACCAACUCAAUAUUAUGCAUCUAUUGCAAACAAGGUACCUGAACUAGGCACUGAUGAUAGACAAAGAAAUAUAAGAGAGUCUGGGUAGAACAUAUAUGCAUGGUGAGAUUCUUUGCAGACAAAUAUAUGAUCGAUUACAUGCCACGUAUUUUCUAGGCAGUAGGAAUACCAAAGGGUAAGAUUUGGCUGGAAAAGUAAAAAAAGUGGUGGGAAGGAAUUGGACAGCAUCUCAGGAAAAAUGCCAGUGCCGUGAAUAUUCCUUUUGCUAUUCUUCCUCUUGGAUCUUCUGUACAAUGCUGCUUAUUUACCACCCUGACGGAUUUUCUAAUUUGCUAAGGAGGGCAACUCAGAGAUGGAAAUAUUUCAUAAAUGUUGAUAGAUGGCUUGAUGACACAAAGAUCUCAUUAUUGUUUUGGUAAAUUCCAAGAUCUCAGACAAAAUAUAUAUGUAAGGAAAUCGGCUUCUCAUGAUUCUAAAUGCACUUUAGAAAAAGACAGUUUUCUAUGUGUAGAUGUUGGUUUGCUUGAGAGCGAGAAUUGUUAUAAGAAGAUAUAAAAGCUACUUAUGUUUUAUGGGACUUCUGCAUCAAUCUUCUAUCUAUAACAUGAUCCGGUGACAUAAAUUUUAGCAGCUUGUUUCUGUUUCACCUGCUGUGGAACCAGCGCUGUCCUGCAGCAAUAUCCAGGAGUGGAAUUGAGCUAUUUGCUGGUGUCAUAAAUAAGAAAGGACGUCACGGCUGUUUUCAUUUGACUGAGCAGUAAUGGAGUUAAUUAUACUUUCCGUCUCUUUGUUUUUGAUCUGUGUUUCCAAAGUCAUCUAAGCUUUGGGGAGUUCUCAGAUUUUAACUCUUCCCUUGUCUGAUUGGAUUUCAUAGGUUGGGGAUUUUGUUGCUAUCAAGGACUACUUUCUUUAAAUUUCUACCUUUCGUUCACAACUGUGUGGAUUGAGUUUCACACUAACUCUCCUUCAAAGACGUAAGAGAACUGGCAUUAUUUUGUACUAGACAUGUAAUUUGGGGGGGUGUCCUUUUCUUUUGAUGUGUUUUUGGUAUGUCAUUUGUAAUAUGAUCAUUUUACAUAAAUUAUCUCUGGAGCAGGAAGGAUUUUUGGUCGCGACAGACCAACCAAACAGCAGAAAUCAGUUAAUUUCUCAAGUGUGAGCUAGAAAUCCAGUGAGGUAGUCUGUCAUAGACGUAGAAUUUUUUUCAGCGUUUUUGCCUAGAUUAGGAACCAGGGUUGAAAUAAAACAGAAUGUCCAUGAUUUUUCUACCGGAUCAUUAUCUAUUGAGUUGAGAGAUAAAAAGUGUAUAAAUACACAUAUACAUAUAUAAAUAUUUGGAGACAUCAGCUUACUUUUUCGUCUUUAUAAUUAUUUGUCUGUAUCUAUAUAUUUUGAAAUACUGGGAUUAUUAAAUCACUACAGACACUUCUGUUUUAAUUCACUAUCCUUUUAAUGUUUUGUUUACUUACAUAGUUUCUCUUUAAUUGGUUUCUUAAAGAAGAAAACCAAGGAAAAAAUCAUUUGCACAUUUUAUGCAAUACAUAUAACAAUACAUACUGAAAUGUUUGACCAUAAGGAGAUUUUAAUUGUUUCGCUUGGGUAACCUGGAUAUCGCACACAGAAAAGCAGCACAUUGCAUUCGCAACUAUACAUACACGUAACAGACAUUACAGUCAUGAAAUGCAUUCAGUUUCUAAUGUUAUGGUCUAAUUUGAUUUAAAAUGUGGCUUUGCCCUUAACAGGUACAGCUCUUCUUUGGUGACAUUCUCUUGGUAAUGGACAGCUUCACGCAGUAGCUUCCUAAUCCGUCUUACAGCUCUGAAUUUGUGCUCCAAAUGAUUUGAACCCUUCCUGAGCCGCUUACUUUUAUUCGCUUUAAAAGUAGUUAAGAAAUCCUGACAAAAUUAUUUUAUCUUGUCUUCCGUCUCCUCCAUGAGGUGACUUUUACUAUGGUAUUUCCAUGAUUGCCCUGAAUUUUAUGAAGAUUUUAUGAGUCAGUUCUUUUUUUCAUCAUGAGAGGAAAUAGGUUAAAUGCCAGAGAAGUCUGUUAAAAAUCGGGCAGGGAGUCACGGAAGAAUUUCGUUGAGAGUCCACUCUGAGCUAUAAAAAGAUGUUUUAAUUUGGGGCCUGAGAUUUUCUUAUGGAAAAUACACAUAAUUAUUUUUGUUGGCAGGAAUGUGUGGAAGUUGCAAUGGUAUUUAUCAGUUGUCAAGGAUUUUUCACAUGCUUGUGGAGGAUACAUUUUUUUUAAUCUCUGGGUACUGGGGUAUGACACCCCACCUCCAGUAGAAUUCUUUUAUUUUUAGGGUUUGUGUAGGAAUCUCUUUUGGUGACCUGAUCACGCAGACCCAAGUCCUGCGAUGACAAAAUCACUUGGCAAACUAAUAGGCAGGUCACUGGGGAGAGAUUCUGUCCCUUGUCAUAGGACAUACCUAUUUAAUGAAAACCUUCAAAAAAGAAAAAGCAGAUUGAAUCUGUGUAUUGUUCUCGUGGAUUGGCUUGAUCUGAACACGGUCAUGAUUAAAUUGGAUGUGCUAGUCAAGAGUCAAGGAAAAAAAAAAAAUACACUGACACCUCCAUCAGAGUGGAAUUGAAAAGAGAGAACGAACCGAUGCCCUCAGGCCCCUCUGUAGCUGCUGAGUUUCGUCCUCGGGUUCACGUGCUCUACUGGGGAAGAGGGGGGUGUGCUCCUGCUUUCAUCACCAUGGGAUUCCACCCAAGUCACCACAAUGUUUGACACCUCUUCGGCAUUUAGACAAAAAUGCACAGCCUCGAAUCCCAGGGUGCUGGUUUUCUGACUUGUUUCGGAAGCGACUUAGAAGGAGAGGCUGUCUUCGUGCCUUGGAUGAAAGCUACGAAACCUUCAUGCUGCAAAGUGGACUGAAGGGAGCCCCAGCCUUUUCCCAGGGAAGGUCAAAUUUCCUUCUCUUUGAAAUCUUUCAGGCUCCCAAACCAGUUUGCAUAUUGUGUUUCCCAGAACUGUUUUCAACCACCUGGAGCGGCUGAGCAUGAAGAACACUGUUCUUCAUGCCUUUAGCUACAAAUUGGUAAAGCAAAUAGGCUCCAGGGGCCUGGCGAGGCGGGGUGCACCCCUCACAACCCGUCUGUUUAUUGCUGAGGAAGUUCUGAUCAAGUUUAUGGUGUUAAAGACUCCAACAUAUCAACUCCAUUGAAGAGCAGGACAAGCCAUUGUAAAUAGGAACCAUCAAAGCAUUAGCCAUUUCAAUGAAAUGAAGCAAAUCAAUUGUUUCUUAGAAAGGUGCCUUUCAGAUCUCCUCGCUCAGGUUCUGAGUUGCUCUAUCAAGUUCACAGGAAAACAACUUGUGCUAAUGGGAUUUUUUUAGCUCAGGAUCUUGGAAGGUCAGUGACUUGGCCAAUAAACCAUGAUUUCCUGAAUCUGUGGCAAAACCAUCACCUCGCCUUAAAACCACUUAAAACAAUUCAGGGGCAUAUUAGCAUUGGGAUAAAAACGGAAUAGCUCAAAUAAUUGCAGCUGCUCGGGUUGUGACUUUGCUUCUAUCAAUCAGUUGCCUUUUAUUUAAUAUGGCAUUAAUUGGUUUUUUUCCCCAAAAUGUGUUCUGGUUUAUUAAAAUUGAUAUAUGUGUCAGAUGCAUGUAGACAGAGAGGCAAUAUUUUUUGAAAUCAAAACAUCUUGGGCUGAUCUCUUGGAAGUUUGUGUUCUGGAAAAGAAUUUCAGCCACAAAAAAGGAUGCUGCAUGUGAUUCCUGUGUAAACCAGCAAGGUAGUAAUUAGUGUAUCAAAGUCCGAUUAUUUCUUUUAACGCAUUAAUUGAGUGCCUUACUGAACUGGAUCCUCUCCCAUGUUCCCACUGAAUGUAAAUAUUAUCAGCCUCUGUAUUCUGUGGCUUCUAAAGACCAGGGGUCUUGACUUAAGUCUUUGUUUCUCCUUAGGACCCAGCAAUGUGCCUGGCAUAGAACAGGUCCUCAAAAUCUUUGUGUUGGCCCUAAAUGUAUGUACUUAGCUUUUUAAAAAAAAUUAACUUCUGGCUGAGAAUUGGAGUUCAAGAUAUUUAAUCAUUUGGUCAAGCCAAAAACAGAGGGAUAGGCUACAGAAUGUUUUUUUCCAUGCGGUCAUGCCAACAUUCCGGAGUGUCAUUUUUUUGUUUGGUUGGUUUUUUUAAUGGCCUCACAGGGACAUAUGGAAAUUUCUGGGCCAGGGAUUGAACCUGAGCCAUAGCUGCAGCCACGCCAGAUCCUGUAAGCCACACUGCCAGGCCAGGAAUCGUACCUGUGCCUCUGCAGUGACCCAAGCUGCUGCAGACGGCGUCUUCACCCAUAGCAGGAACUCCUUUAGUGUUUUGGAAGUCAAUGCUAUGUAGGAACUGAAACUAGAUAAUGAAAAACAAAUUUUACUCAUAGUCAAAGACUUAACUCUCUUACUGGACGUUAGUUUUGUGCACAAUCUACCAAUAUAAAUAGGUAAGGAGGUGGGUAGGUAGAUACAUAUGUACACAGACAAAUAUAAUUUUUUUUUCCAUUAGAAAAAAUUUUGUUCAUUAGGCUUGAUGCGGAAAAGCAUAGAGUCCAAUUGGAAGAAGAUAAAUUUCUGCCCUUAGUACAUUGGGAACCUUCUUUAUCUGGGACUAGACAGUGCACAUACCAGUCACGCUGAUGAGGGUGGGGUGAGGUGAUGAGGGUGGUGGCACAGUCCAGCCAGAGAGAAGCAAGGACAAAAAGCCCAAAUCGUUAAGAGUUGUGCUGCUGGAGGCCAGGGGGCUCUCGCCCAGGUUGGGGGAUGGUGGGGAGGAGACACCUGUCGAGGACCAUAAAACCUGCUAGAAGAUUUAUUCCCCCAAUUCCACACCUCGGGGCAAAGAAAAGUUCUCAGAAUUUUGCCAGAGGGGUAACUUGAUCUAAAGAGCAUUUUGGAAAGAGCCCCUGGCCACAGGCUAGAGAACAGAUUGGCCACCAGGUGUGUCCCUUCGAUGGUGGGAAAAAUGGGAAGCAGAAGGGAGGGAUUUGAGAAGGCAGUUAUGAAAAAAGGGUCAAGCAGGACUUCUAGAUGUCCGAGGUGGGCAAUUAAGAGGGGGUGGGCUUCUUCCAGUCCACAGGUUUAGUUUUAACACAGAAAAAGUAAUUUCCUAAUAAGGAGGAAAGUAAUACAGAAGUUUCGGUAUGAAAAAAAAAAAGAUGGAUUAAUCAGUUAAUUAACUAUUUAUUUAGUUAUUGUCUUUUUUAGGGCCGAAGCCAUGGCAUAUGGAGAUUCCCAGGCUAGGGGUCGAAUCGGAGCUGCAUCUGCGACCUACACCACCACUCACGGCAACACUGGAUCCUUAACUCACUGAGGGAGGCCAGGGAUUGAACCUGCAUCCUCAUGGUUGCUAGUUGGGUUCAUUAACUGCUGAGCCACGACAGGAACUCCAAAGACGGAUUAACUUAAUUUUUGAUCUGUUGAGUUAGAAAAAUCUCUGAGAUAUUUAAGUGAAAAUAUUCAUCAGUUAGUAGAUUAGAAUCAAACUUUGGAAUCGAGAGAGGGAUUGGAAGUCACUUGACAUUUUCUAAAUCCUGCCUCUACAAGUACAGGCUCUUUUUCAACUCCAGAAUUUCCUGCGAAACUUGUCAUCCAGGAAGUCUGGAUUUUUUAAAUUGUUUUCUUCAAAAUCUCCAUCUGUGUAGCAUCUAAGUUUUAGAAUACAGCUUUCUUGGAGUACAAGGAUUUGAAGAUAUUGGGCUUUAUAGAAAAAUGGUAUAGUGGCUAAGGGCACAAAAUGUAAUCCAGAGCUUCUCUAGCUUUAUUAUUUCCUAGCUGUGUGACCAUGGGCAACCCAUUUAACCUCUCUGAAUCUUUCCUUACCUGCAAAGUUAGGGUAUCAUUGCUGACUUAAAACACUGUCAUAUAUAUAUGACUGGGUCACUUUGCUGUACAUCAGAAAUUGGCACAACAUUGUAAAUGCACUAUACUUUAAUAAAAAAAACCAUAAACAGAA
ensembl:lncRNA